rnacentral:rRNA from 1 species
CGUAGGGUGCGAGCGUUAAUCGGAAUUACUGGGCGUAAAGCGUGCGCAGGCGGUUUUGUAAGACAGGCGUGAGAUCCCCGGGCUCAACCUGGGAACUGCGCUUGUGACUGCAAGGCUAGAGUACGGCAGAGGGGGGUGGAAUUCCACGUGUAGCAGUGAAAUGCGUAGAGAUGUGGAGGAACACCAAUGGCGAAGGCAGCCCCCUGGGUCGAUACUGACGCUCAUGCACGAAAGCGUGGGUAGCAAACAGGAUUAGAUACCCUGGUAGUCCACGCCCUAAACGAUGUCAACUAGGUGUUGGGUGGGUAAAACCAUUUAGUACCGGAGCUAACGCGUGAAGUUGACCGCCUGGGGAGUACGGCCGCAAGGUUA